rnacentral:rRNA from 1 species
AGAAUCAACGCUGGCGGCGUGCCUAACACAUGCAAGUCGCACGAGAAAGGGGAGCAAUCCCUGAGUAAAGUGGCGCACGGGUGAGUAACACGUGAAUGAUCUACCUCCGAGUGGGGAAUAACUGAGAGAAAUCUUAGCUAAUACCGCAUAACACUUACGAGUCAAAGCAGCGAAUGCGCUUGGAGAGGAGUUCGCGGCCGAUUAGCUAGUUGCGGGGUAAUGGCCCACCAAGGCGAUGAUCGGUA